UGGCUGGCCUAUUACUGCUGGGACCUUUAAUUUGAUAUAUAAGUAGACACUGAGUGAGGCACCGCCCCUCUUCCUCCUGCUGUGGUGCUGUGGCCAAGCACCUGUGUGGUCGCUGCACCAGGGCUCCAGUUGGCUUGGGGCUCAGUUUGUUAGGGCCCUGCAACCUGAGCCCACUCCGUUGCCGAUGGCUCGCUCCGUGGUUGAUGCUGAUUGUUGCACCCCAUUGUCCUGUUGAGUGGUGAAGACUGGGGUUAGCUGAGAUGGGUGACUUAUCACUGAAGUCUGCUGAAGUGCUUAAUCUGAGUGGCCAUGUCGAGCGUUGAGCUUGUUACUUGUUGAUCAUCCCUUCAUCUCCCGCAGUAAGUGCUCAUUUCAAUCCUCUGUUUCAACAUAUAUCCACUGCCAAUUAGUAAUGGUUUAAAUUGUGUUACAGGUGGAGUGAUUAGUGCACCCACAUCCUCUCGCCGCUGGAGAGUUGCUGCUCUGUUGCUGCUGGUCCUGUGUCGGUUCAUGCUCAGUGUUGUGUUUGUUAUUUUGAGUUUUGUUUAUCUACCUCCCCUGAGCCGCCAUCUUGAGUAAGACUGUGGAGAAGGCUUGUAGUGUGGUCCAGUAGGGUAGACUCUAGUGGUAAUCCACUGUAUGUUUUCUGUGAAUCUGUGGUUGUUUUUGUUUUUUUAUUUUUACUAUGUGUUUGGUGGCUGACACCAGCUGUGAGAUUGUCACCUUGUGUGUAUGUAUGAGUGUGUGGAAGUGAUCCAUUCAGGUGUGGCACUUGAGGCGGCUGCCCUCCCUUCUCUGUAUAAUGUGGCUGGUCAUCUCUCUCUACUAGCUAUCAUAAGAUAAGUACCAUCCAGUUCUUUCUUAUUGAUAAUCAAAUACCAACAUUUGGAAUUGUAUUACUCUGUAUUCAGUAUCUCCUCUCUCUUUGGGCAGGUAUGAGGUGCAUCCCAUAGCAAGCCAGUCUUCGGGUGGUGGACCUUCUCACACUUCCAUUGCUGUGUACACGUUUGGUGAUUAUUAUUUUGCAGUGUUACUUUGAAUUUUGUGGAUUUUGUUUAAUUAAUUUGUGGUGUUUUCCUGAUCUUUCCUGUCUCUUCCCGUGCUGCUAGUGGAGAGCCUCUCCAGCCUGACCCACUAGUUGAUCAUUCUCACUUUAAGCCACAUAGCAGGUUAUUGUGCAGUCCACCUCCUUGUGCGCCAUUUGUGCCUCAGCUUGGCCGUCCAGUCUGACGGACCAUGAAGUGUGUGUGUGUGUGUGUGUG